CGCUUCCUCCGCGCGUGGGCAGCUGCGGCCGAGGUCCAGAGGUUCCUAUCCCGGUAGAUGAACGUCUCCAGCAGCUCCUGGGCCGAACGCCUGGCGUCUCGCCGCUUCCUCCUCAGGUGUUUCUUGUGUCACUCCCUGCUCUCACUCCAUAAAGAUGGAUCCAGGUCCAAAGGGGCACUCUCAUGGCGGCCAUCCUCCAGGACCUGGUGGUCCCCACCCUGAUCAUGGUCCAGGACACGGUCCUGUGGGAGGCCACCCCCCAGGACCUGGUGGGCACCCCCCUGGUCAUGGUCCAGGACACGGUCCUGUGGGAGGCCACCCCCCAGGACCUGGUGGGCACCCCCCAGGCCAUGGCCCAGGGCAUCCCCCUGGUCCACACCACUGAAGAAACAAAAAAAAAA